AUACGGAGGAUCCGAGCGUUAUCCGGAUUUAUUGGGUUUAAAGGGAGCGUAGGUGGACAGUUAAGUCAGUUGUGAAAGUUUGCGGCUCAACCGUAAAAUUGCAGUUGAUACUGGCUGUCUUGAGUACAGUAGAGGUGGGCGGAAUUCGUGGUGUAGCGGUGAAAUGCUUAGAUAUCACGAAGAACUCCGAUUGCGAAGGCAGCUCACUGGACUGGAACUGACGCUGAUGCUCGAAAGUGUGGGUAUCAGACAGGAUUAGAUACCCUGGUAGUCCGCACAGUAAACGAUGAAUACUCGCUGUUUGCGAUAGACAGUAAGCGGCCAAGCGAAAGCAUUAAGUAUUCCACCUGGGGAGUACGCCGGCAAGGGUGAAACUCAAGUGAAUUGACGGG
rnacentral:rRNA from 1 species